rnacentral:rRNA from 1 species
GACAGAGGGUGCAAACGUUGCUCGGAAUCACUGGGCGUAAAGGGCGCGUAGGCGGCCUGCUCUGUCGAACGUGAAAUCCCCGGGCUCAACCCGGGAACUGCGUCCGAAACUGGCAGGCUUGAAUCCGGGAGAGGGAUGUGGAAUUCCAGGUGUAGCGGUGAAAUGCGUAGAUAUCUGGAGGAACACCGGUGGCGAAGGCGGCAUCCUGGACCGGUAUUGACGCUGAGGCGCGAAAGCCAGGGGAGCAAACGGG